GGGUGGGAGUAUGUUCCUUUUGACAAUUAUGUGGUUUGCAACUUGAUAUCCCGAAGCUGUACCAUUUGCAUAAGAUAAGUACUGCAACGGUUGUAAAAGCGCUCAUCACGUUUUUUUUUUUUUCUCUGUUCGGUCUUCCUAAGAUCGUUCAAACUGAUCACGGGUCAAACUUUAUGUCACGGAUUUUUACGUACGCUAUGAAACAGCUAAACAUAUCUCAUUGUUGGUCGAGUGCAUACCACUCUGAAAGCGAAGGGGCUAUUGAGCGGUUCCAUCAAACCCUUAAAUCCAUGCUCCAUACUUACUGCUUUGACUCUGACAAAGAUUGGGAUGAAAUACUCGUCUUUGCCAUUUGGAAAGUUUCUCAGGAGUGGUUGGGCUUUAGUCCAGCAGACUUGGUGUUUGCAGACACUGUGAGAAGGCCCUAAAAGAGAAAUGGCUGGGUGAUGACAAACCGCAAAACCUGUUUGAUUUUGUAACUCUCACUUGAGACUCCAACGAGCGUGUGAACUGGCAAAACAAAAUAUGUCGUUCAGUCAAACAAAAAUGAAAAGCUGGUUUGCAAAAACACCAAAAGUUGCUCCUUCAGUCCAGGUGAUAAAGUGUUGGUUUUAGUGCCUGUUCUGCUCUUCUGCUCAUAAGGCCCACAUUAGAGUGGGCCUUAUGUUGUCAAAGAGAAACUCAACAGUUGUGACUACAUUGUUGCCACUCCAGACUGGAGGUAGAGUAACAGGUUAUGCCAAAUUAACAUGGCGAAACCCGAUUUGGAUCGGGAACCUGUCUUGCUGCAGGCUGUUGACAAGAAAAGUGAUGCAGUUUUGGUGUUGCACAAUGCCAAAAUUGUCAACGUAGCCCCAGUAGGCAACGUGCUGUUCAGUACCGAUACGACAGAGACUGGCAUUGGCCUGUCCUCGUCUGUUGAUAACGCCGAUGAUUAUAUGUGCCCUCUAAGACUCGUGUGCUGCACCACAACAUUGGGAGGAUCAUAUCCAGCAGAUUGACAUCGUGUUUGAUAGGCUGCGUGAUGCAAACCUUUCACUGAACUUUGGCCAAGACACAGUGACUUAUUUGGGCAAGGUGGUUGGUCAUGGCUAGUUCAAAUGUGCAAGCUAAAGCUGAGGCAAUUCUUUCUUUUCUGGCUCCUCUUUCUCAGUGUCACCAACCUUUUUUGACCGAAGAUCUACUUUUCAAGAAACCAACCUCCUGCGAUCGACCCGUGACAGCAUGUGAACACAUAUGCGCACGUGCGCACCCAUGCACACCCAUGCACACGCGUGUAUACGCACACAUGUAUGCCAUGAUGAGCAACAGCCAUAACAGCCUCUAACGUGAACAAAACUGAAAGAUAAAGUAGAUACAAGAGUGUCUGAAAAGGAAAUCACUGCCUACCUCAGUAAAGACGUGACGUGGAGGCAUGGGACAAACCUUUGCAGCGUAUUAAGAACAGGAACUUCACUAUCAUAGCUCACAUAUACUGUUUUGAAAUACUUCUCCUGGUGCUCCAGAUUCCCAUUCUUUGUCAAUGUCAUUUGUGAAUUACAGAUUAAACAAAUUUUGAAUGAGAA